rnacentral:rRNA from 1 species
UACAGAGGUCUCGAGCGUUUAGGCGGAAUCACUGGGCUUAAAGCGUGUGUAGGCGGAUCGUUAAGUACCUUGUGAAAUCCCACGGCUUAACCGUGGAACUGCUUGGUAUACUGGCGGUCUUGAGCCAGCUAGGGGCUACCGGAACAAAUGGUGGAGCGGUGAAAUGCGUAGAUAUCACUAGGAACGCCGGUGGCGAAAGCGACACGCUGGACCUCUACUGACGCUGAGGCGCGAAAGCCAGGGGAGACGAAACGGG